rnacentral:rRNA from 1 species
AACGAACGCUGGCGGCAUGCCUAACACAUGCAAGUCGAACGAGACCUUCGGGUCUAGUGGCGCACGGGUGCGUAACGCGUGGGAACCUGCCUUUAGGUUCGGAAUACCUCAGAGAAAUUUGAGCUAAUACCGGAUGAUGUCUUCGGACCAAAGAUUUAUCGCCUUUAGAUGGGCCCGCGUGGGAUUAGCUCGUUGGUGGGGUAAAGGCCUACCAAGGCGUCGAUCCAUAGCUGGUCUGAGAGGAUGAGCAGCCACACUGGGACUGAGACACGGCCCAGACUCCUACGGGAGGCAGCAGUGGGGAAUAGUGGACAAUGGGCGAAAGCCUGAUGCAGCAAGGCCGCGUGAGUGAUGAAGGCAGUAGGGUUGUAAAGCUCUUUUAACCGAGAUGAUAAUGACAGUACCGGGAGAAUAAGCUCCGGCUAACUCCGUG